rnacentral:rRNA from 1 species
UACGUGAGGGUGCGAGCGUUGUCCGGAAUUAUUGGGCGUAAAGGGCUCGUAGGCGGUUUGUCGCGUCGGGAGUGAAAACCUUGGGGCUUAACUCGAGGGCUUGCUUUCGAUACGGGCAGACUAGAGGUGAUGCAGGGGAGAACGGAAUUCCUGGUGUAGCGGUGAAAUGCGCAGAUAUCAGGAGGAACACCGGUGGCGAAGGCGGUUCUCUAGGCGAUGAUCUGACGCUGAGGAGCGAAAGUGUGGGGAGGCGAACAGG